UUGUGUGCAUGCUCUUGUCUCAUUCAGAAAAAAGACUGCCAACACCAGUCCACAGAUGUCUUCUGCAGAGAAUGGUGGCAAUGGCAUGGCGUCUGGUCACUCCAGCAAUGAUGAAAGUAUAAACAGUAGAAACAACAGCAUCUCUCUGGAAGAAGAAACAGAUUUAUCGUUGAGUCAAGGCAUGGCUGGCGGGACGAUGUCAUCACCCACAAAAGGAAUUGAUGGAGCUUUAGAUUUGAUCUUCUACAUCUUUGGCCUGUUGUUUCUGCUGCUCGUACUGGUUUCCGGUUACAUUGGACUGAGAAUCAUAGCUCUGGAGGAGCAGCUGAAUGCCUUGGGGCACCUAUCUCUUUGAACCCUGAUCCAGAAGCGCAGCCCAGGGAGCCCGGGGAGAGACCACACAGACACAGCUGGCCGUCGCAGGGCUCCCACAGCUGAUGCGGAGAUGAUGAAGACGGGAGGACCUCAAUGUCUACACGCCUGAGCUCUACAAUAUGUUGGUGUCCGAUUGAGAUUUAGCUAAAAAGCUCUAAACGGCUAAGUUUAGGUAAAACAUUUCAUUUAAAUGGUUCAAAUGGUUAGUUUUGUAAUGGUUAAGUUUGCAGCGUUAAGAGAAUAUUUUGGAAUUCAAUAUAUAUGUGGUUACAUUUAGGGAGGUGGUGAAGCUGGGGUAUUGUUAGCUGGUUAGGAUUAGGUAAGUGUGUGUUCAGUCUGGUUAAGAUCAUGGCUGUGUCCACUGGCUGCCACGCGUGUCUUCUGGCUCACCUAGAGAAAAAACGGCCUACAUUUACUCUUUAACCUGUUACUGCUCUUAAUUAUUGCUAUCAUACUAGGAUCCAAUCUUUCUUAUAUUUAUCUUGUUAGUAUUCUCCUUUUAUACUUACAAUUAAGAUUAUGAAUACAUUGAUUUGAGAUGCUGUUAGAAAUCCUAAUAGUUUUCUGGGAACCAAACGGCAGUGAUUUCUGCUGAGGACAACUGAAAGUACAAUCAACGCCAAGCGUUAAUUGUAAAAUGUGUUAGACGCAUAAUCUAUAGCUUUCAGUGGCGCUAGUCCUACCGCUAGAUGUCAGCAUAUACCUUCUAACUCAUUUCGUCAAAUGAAAGCUAAUGACGUAAGCAUUCAAGAUUUGAAUAGAUAAUUAUCAUUGAAAUAUAUACUUUUUGGUUUGUCAUAUACCGAGAUGUCACUACUUAAUUAUUCUUGACAGAGGCCUAUCUAGUUAUUGUAGAUUUUUAUGAAAUUAUUUAUUGAAUAAUUCAAUUUAAUUAAACAAUGAGGACCCAAAUGAAAGCAUACAAAUGCAGGAUGCAGUUCCAUGUUUUGUAAAUAAGUGUUCUUUUUAUUUCAAUUGUCAAUAAAAAGGUCAAGAUUCAGUCCCA